rnacentral:rRNA from 1 species
AGAGUUUGAUCAUGGCUCAGAUUGAACGCUGGCGGCAUGCUUUACACAUGCAAGUCGAACGGUAACAGGGAGCUUGCUCCGCUGACGAGUGGCGAACGGGUGAGUAAUGCAUCGGAACGUACCCAGUCGUGGGGGAUAACGUAGCGAAAGUUACGCUAAUACCGCAUACGUCCUGAGGGAGAAAGCGGGGGACCGAAAGGCCUCGCGCGAUUGGAGCGGCCGAUGUCGGAUUAGCUAGUUGGUAGGGUAAAGGCCUACCAAGGCGACGAUCCGUAGCGGGCCUGAGAGGAUGAUCCGCCACACUGGGACUGAGACACGGCCCAGACUCCUACGGGAGGCAACAGUGGGGAAUUUUGGACAAUGGGCGCAAGCCUGAUCCAGCCAUGCCGCGUGAGUGAAGAAGGCCUUCGGGUUGUAAAGCUCUUUCAGGUGGAAAGAAAACGCAUGGGUCAAUACCCUGUGUGGAUGACGGUACCAUCAGAAGAAGCACCGGCUAACUACGUGUCAGCCGCCGCGGUAA